rnacentral:rRNA from 1 species
GGGUGCGUAACGCGUAUAGAACCUACCUUUUACAGAGGAAUAGCCUUUAGAAAUGAAGAUUAAUGCCUCAUGGUAUUGUAGACUGGCAUCAGUUUAUAAUUAAAGAUUUAUCGGUAAAAGAUGGCUAUGCGUCCUAUUAGUUAGUUGGUAAGGUAACGGCUUACCAAGACAGCGAUAGGUAGGGGUCCUGAGAGGGAGAUCCCCCACACUGGUACUGAGACACGGACCAGACUCCUACGGGAGGCAGCAGUGAGGAAUAUUGGACAAUGGAGGAGACUCUGAUCCAGCCAUGCCGCGUGUAGGAAGAAUGCCCUAUGGGUUGUAAACUACUUUUAUACAGGAAGAAACACUGGUAUGUAUACCAGCUUGACGGUACUGU